rnacentral:rRNA from 1 species
AACCCAAAUUAAUAAAUACCGGCGUAAAGCGUGUUUAAGUAAUUCACAAGAAUAAAGUUAAUAAUUGACUAAACUGUAGCACGUUCUAGUUAAUAUUAAAAUACACAAUAAAAAUGACUUUAAUAUCACCUACUACACGACAACUAAGACACAAACUGGGAUUAGAUACCCCACUAUGCUUAGUAAUAAACUAAAAUAAUUUAUUAAACAAAAUUAUUCGCCAGAGAACUACUAGCUAUUGCUUAAAACUCAAAGGACUUGGCGGUGCCCUAAACCCACCUAGAGGAGCCUGUUCUAUAAUCGAUAAACCCCGAUAAACCCGACCUUAUCUUGCCAAUA